AUUGAACGCUGGCGGCAGGCCUAACACAUGCAAGUCGAGCGGAUGAAGGGAGCUUGCUCCUGGAUUCAGCGGCGGACUGGUGAGUAAUGCCUAGGAAUCUGCCUGGUAGUGGGGGAUAACGUCCGUAAACGUGCGCUAAUACCGCAUACGUCCUGAGGGAGAAAGUGGGGGAUCUUCGGACCUCACGCUAUCAGAUGAGCCUAGGGUGGAUUAGCUAGUUGGUGGGGUAAAGGCCUACCAAGGCGACGAUCCGUAACUGGUCUGAGAGGAUGAUCAGUCACACUGGAACUGAGACACGGUCCAGACUCCUACGGGAGGCAGCAGUGGGGAAUAUUGGACAAUGGGCGAAAGCCUGAUCCAGCCAUGCCGCGUGUGUGAAGAAGGUCUUCGGAUUGUAAAGCACUUUAAGUUGGGAGGAAGGGCAGUAAGUUAAUACCUUGCUGUUUUGACGGUACCAACAGAAUAAGCACCGGCUAACUUCGUG
rnacentral:rRNA from 1 species